CAAAUGGUAGGGGUAAAAUUGGAAUUUUAUUUUUGAUUUGGGAUCGUGGGUAAGAAUUUACCAAAAGUUAAAUAAACGAAGACUUUUUAUAACAAAAUUUAAUAAACAAAGUUUUUUCGUUCAACAAAAAAGUACAUGUAUUAAUCGUCGAAAAAAAUUAUAGAUAGCGAAUUUUUAGGCUUUUCCCUUAAAAGAUGCAUUUUUAUAACCGGUGGACAAAUUGUUUUUUUCCAAAGGUUUCUCUUGCUUUUUCUUUGCAACUAAGGCCACGAAAAUCAUCUUCUAUAUGAUAUUUUGUGGUUCAUGUUGAUUUAAAGCCACUGGAAAACUCUUGUUCAUGUGUUAUUUCAGUGGGUUCAUGUCUUUAACCGAUGGGUAAAUCGAUUGCCCAACGGUUCAUUAUGUUUCAGCCAUUAAAGCACCAAACUCUUGAUGAUUCUUGGAUGCUCUUGGCUGUUAAAGUCUCUUUAAAACUCAAGAAACCAGAGCAAAACUCUGUCCAUUUGAACUCUUGAGUAAAUUCUCAAUUCUCUUUUAUUUAUGCUCAUUCUAUUUGCUUCGGCUAUUCUCUUUUUAUCUAUGUUCAUUCUCAUUACCUGUGCUUAUACUCUAUAUUCUCUUAUUACUAAUUCUUUAUCAUUCUCUUAUACUCUUGUUACUUAUACUCUCUUUAUUUUCAGUCUUUACUCUCUAAUCUCUCACCAUCUCUUGUUUAGAAUCUGUUCUUCUAAGUCUAAAACAGGUUCAAUCGUUGAAGAUGGUGAGUUUGCUGUCUCAAAAUGGCACAACACAGUGCUUGUAGUUAGAACCAAGGGCCACCAAGCUUUGGAAUCCACAAGAACGUCCAACCUAGUUAAUCUCCAGAAGAUACAAGGGUAAACCCGAGAGACUUACCAAGAGGGAAUGCUUUGGUUGUGGUUCUUGUGGAGAGGCCUAAUGGAAAUGCAAGCUGGUGGAAGGUGAUGAAUCAGCUCAAAAGCAUGUGUGUUAGUGUCAAGUUGUUGGAGUUCAAGAUUGGAUGUGCACUAGAUGUCAAGCCAUACUAGGCAUAAGGUCUCUUGACUCAAGACAUGGCCCAAGCCAUGAAUAAAUCAAGAGAGUGGUCCCAAAGAGAGUUAAAGGAGAGGAGGCAUGUGUGGAAAUUCUCAAAGAGAAACGCAAGAUGAGGCAAAGAGGUCCAUAAGAAGAGGAAUCAAGUCAUGAAGGACUAAAAGGAAUGAAAUCUCUUAGAGGAAGAAGCAAAUUCUUAACCAUGCAAGAAAUUUCUCUGUCAAAGCGUCCUAAAGAUUAACUUGUACGACGGCCUUCCACUGGGAUUCAGCUUCCACAUUAUUGAUUAAAGUUGUUGGAAUUUGAGUAAGCUUUCCAGUGAAAGUGAUAUCACCCACAACCGAGGAUAAGAUCAAAAGUUAUGCCCGAUUCAGUGGGUAUAUAUCAAUCUGACGCGACUGAGAAGAAGCUAUCGACUAUUGAGGUCGGUUGAGGUGUCGAUUGGCCAUUGCCUGGCCAUGAAAAGUGCUUCAAAAGAAGCCAAAUUGGAGCCCUUGAAACCUAAGAAGCGGUCAUGAAAGAAGCCUUAGAAUACUAGUCUUGAUGUUGUUCCAAGAAGGGAUAAUGAAGGAGGAUUAGCUUUAAGAGCUAAUGGCUGCUAGGCUUGGUGUUGUGAAGAAGUUUCAAAGAAAGAUACAAAGAAGGAGAAGUCAAAGAACACUUCCGGAGCUAAAGAAGGGUGUGUAAAAACCUCCAAGAUUGGCUCUCAUUCAACUUUCAAACCAAACUUGAGGGGGAGAAAAGUGUAAACAACCCUCAUGGAGCUCUAGAAGAUCUUUAAAGAAGCGAAUAAUCAAGGAAGCUUCAAAGAAGGUCUCAUUCAGCUUCAAGACCACUUGAUAGUUUCAACCAUAGUACUAAACUCCGGCGGUACAAAGGAUGACCCGAGGGAAGAGUAUAUAUGGCUCUCUCAAGCGUGGUGAACCUAUUUAAAGCUGACCGAGAGAGAUAAAGCUAGAUGGAAGGACUAGUGGAGAUACAAGGCUGGUGGUUAACCGAUGGAUCAUCUCCAUCAUGUUUUGGGGCUUAUAUGUAAUGUGGAGCUGUGAAAGAAGCUCCAAUAAUCCUAAAAGGAAGCGUCUGGAGAAGAAGUCUCCAAGCCAACCAUGAAGCUCAUCCAAAGUUGGAUGUAGAAGAGGUGCAUUGAGUUCUAGUAAGUCAUCAACCAUGAAGAGGAGACCCAUGGGGCAGAAACUCAAGUGGUGGUGGAAAACAAGUCUCAACCAAAUACAUUACAACAAUGAAGACAAAAGGCUAUCUCUAAACCCUUAACUCUUUCAAUAUCUUUAAUUCAUUGCUCACAUUUUAUUCAGAUUAGCCAUGCACUUAAAGUGACUUUGUCAUGCUUAGAAUCUGAAUUUAGAGAAUGAAUUUUAAGUUUUGUUUUUAGAGAUUUGUCUUCAAUUUACUCGGAUUAAUCAUGCUUAAUCUGUCAUGUUUCAAUUGGAUUUGCAUGUUUAAAUUCUUAUUUGUACUGUUGUGUUUAAAUUGAGCUUAGUAAGAGACUAGUUCAAUUUGAGUUUGGUCUAUUUAGUCUCAAUCUAGCUUAAUGUUAUCCUUGUGGCCAAUACACUUAAGAUUUCUUUACAUAUUUUUGUUGAAGGUGCAAAAAAGCUAGAUGAGAAGAAGAGAACCGGAUGGAUAAUUCUAGCUUGACUCAAGGAAGAUCAAUCCAUGGUGGUGACCGAGAGGGAGAAAGCCCUCAAGCGAGUACACACACGGAGGAUUAGAGUCUCAAAAAGAAGUCAAAGCAAGAAGCCAAAGAGAUCUCAUAUUCAAACCAUGGUCAUAGCUACAUCAUUCAACCGUGAAGACUAUACUCUUUUUCCCUUAACAAAGUUUUGUCCCAAGAGGUUUUCUUUGUUAAGGUUUUUUUAAUGAGGUAGUCAUUUGCGUGUUGCAAGCUUGGCAUUUGGUUCCCGCUGCCCAAGCUUGAGAGGGAGUAUUAGAGAGGAAGAAGAGAAAGGAGAACCUAAGGCCGAAGUCUAGAAGACGAGGCCGAGCUUAAUGGUGUUCAAUGAAGUGUGACACUCAACUAGGCUCGUGUAUCUCCAAGCUUAACCUCCGAUGUCUCUACACUUAAUCUUGAGGGGGAGUAUUGAGUAUGUCAAGAUAGAAUAGACCAUUAUGUUCUACUUUAUAUUAGUCUAUUCUUUAUUGACUAAGUUCGCAUAGUAUAGACCAUUAGGCUCGUCUCUAUAUUGGUCUAUACUAUACAUACGGGGGAUGUUAAGAGAUAAAAUAGAUUAGCAUUAUUUAUAUUAUUAGCUUUCCUUGUAAGCUUAUCCCUUAUCCCACCUACAUAUAUGUGUGGCUGUAAACCUAAUGAAGUAAGGGAGAGCAAUUCUCUCUCUUCUAUUCUUGGUUA